rnacentral:rRNA from 1 species
CCUACGGCACGCAGCAGUAGGGAAUAUUGGACAAUGGGCGCAAGCCUGAUCCAGCCAUGCCGCGUGCAGGAAGAAGGCGUUUGCGUUGUAAACUGCUUUUGAUCGGGAAUAUGUACCGAUAGAAUAAGCCACGGCUAACUACGUGCCAGCAGCCGCGGUAAUACGUAGGUGGCAAGCGUUAUCCGGAUUUAUUGGGUUUAAAGGGAGCGUAGGCGGUUUUGUAAGUCAGUGGUGAAAGACGGUCGCUCAACGAUCACAUUGCCAUUGAUACUGCAAGGCUAGAGUACAGUAGAGGUGGGCGGAAUUUAUGGUGUAGCGGUGAAAUGCAUAGAUACCAUAAAGAACACCGAUUGCGUAGGCAGCUCACUGCUGUAACUGACGCUGAGGCUCGAAAGUGUGGGUAUCAAACAGGAUUAGAUACCCUAGUAGUC